rnacentral:lncRNA from 1 species
UUUUUUGGGGCCACACCUGUGGCAUAUGGAAGUUCCCAGGCUAGGGGUCCAAUUGGAGCUGCAGCUGCUGGCCUACACCACAGCCACAGCCAUGCGGGAUCCGAGCCUCAUCUGAGACCGACACCACAGCUCACGGCAACGCUGGACCCUUAACCCACUGAGCAAGGCCAGGAAUCGAACCUGCAUCCUCAUUGAUGCCAGUUGGGAUGGUUAACCGCUGAGCCACAACAGGAACUCCAGGAUGAAACUUAAUUCUUAGCUCACACAAUCAGAUGCCUUUUUUUUUAUUUUUUGGCCACACCCAUGACAUGCUGAAGUUCCCCAGCCAGGGAUGGAACCUGCACCACAGCAGCAACCCAAGCUGCCACAAUAACACAGCAUCCUUAACCAGCUGUGCCACGCAAGAGAAUUCUACAAUCAGAUGUCUUUUUAAGUCCACUCCUUGUGUGUAGAGGUGUUGAGAAUAUUACCUGAAUGGCCACAGGUAACAUGUGCACAGAGGAAAGACCAGGUGAGGACACAGGGAGAGGGCUGGCAUAGGCAAGCCAAGGAGAGAGGCUUCAGAAGGAACCAACCUGCAGGCACCAUGAUCCCCCGCUGCCAAGGCUGUGAAAGUAAAUUCCCCUCGUUUAAGCCACCCCCUCACCCUGCCUCCAUCUGCAGGACUUUGCUGUGGCAGCCCUCACAAACUAAAUGCAGAGCCACUGUCAUCUCCCCCUACAAAUGUCCAGCCUGAGAUUAUGAUCAAACAGCUAGUGAGCUGCCGAGAACCCAGACUCCUUCCUGUUACUCACUGCUGCUCAUUCUUUCCUCCAACAAAAAUGCGUGGAGGGCCAGGGAACAGCAGACACCCAGACACACACAGACAGUCGCUGGCACCCUGGACCUCACGUCCCUCUGGGAGAAGAACACACCAUAGCUCUGGUUGCGGGUGGAAGCCACAGCCAAGAGGGUGCCAACAAGCAGCAGAGGUCUUGCUGGGCAGAGGGUGCGGCAGAGCAGCCUCGCAGGGGUGAGGCACGUCCUGAACCUGUGAGAGGGUCACAAGUUGUUCUCUGCUUUGGACCACAGUGCGUGAAGGCGGGGGAGGCAGGAACUGGAGUUGUUUCGACGUCCUCAACGGAUCACAUCAGGGUGGUGGUAAGGGGGACACUUUCAUGGAGUUGAACUCUCGUGAUGUAGAACUACUUUAGGGUAUUUUCAGAUUUUUAAACACACUUGGCUGUGUCACAGUGUAAUUCCCAUACAUGUGAGUAUGCAAUCUCAGUGUAAUAAAUAGAGCAAGGAUGCAAUGUCCAUGCACAUCCUCAGAUAUAAUCUAUACCUGAAGAAACGCCAUGACUGUGGUCCCACGUACAUAAAUGUUAAUUUGGCAGUCUGUACAAAGAUUGCUGGCUGUAUUUGUUUUCACCUGCACCAUCUUUGUCCUGGGUAACUGAAAUAACUUCUUAACUGGUCUUUCUUCCGACCCGAAAAACAGAGGGAACGUUUUGGAGCAAAUUAUGGUCAAACAGCCAGUAAGCGAUCAGGACAUGUCUUUUCUGGAAGUCCUGGGACAGAGACUAAAAUCCACACAUAUGUGACCUUGAAUCUUAGAAUAUUCAACAGCCAGCUGUUGGGGCCACCUCUCCACUAAUGACCUUCCAAGAUUCAGGGUCACAUAAAUGUAGGUUUUAGACCUACAUCUUCCUCCUGCCCUUUGGCCUCACUUUGUACAACUCUCCCCUGCCUGCCUCUUCUUCUUUGAAAUGCCAGUCUGCUGAUGCCAUCAGGACCAUUGCCAGAAUGUUCUAUCUCAGCUUUCACCAUAAUCCAAUCCAAACGUCACCUCCUCAGUGAAGCCUUCCCUGAUUACGCCACCCAAAGCAGUUCCCUGCCCAGGGCCAGCGUCCUGUGUGUGGGACCAGCGUGGGUACGGGAGCCCCAGGCUCGGAAGGGCCCUGUGCUCAGCUUAGGGUUCGAUGCGGCCGUCUUGAAAUCCAUGAGAGCUUUUGAACAAGGGCCUACAUUGUUCUUUUUUGACAGCAGGUCCUGAAAACUCUGUUGCCAGUUCCUCCUGUGCUCCAGGUUGCAUCAUCCCAUUCAGUUUUCUCUGUUGGCACUUCCAUUAUUCAAAGUGAUCCCUUUGUUAAUCUGUUUACUGACCUUUCCCUUCUCCAAGACGUGAGCUCCAGCAGAGCAGUAACUUUGCCAGCCUGGCUCAGUCCCGUGUCUCCAGCCCCUGGCACAGGGCCAGACAGAGGUUGAGUCUCAGUAAGCACAGAGUGAAUUAAUGACUCAGGCAGAGCACUAAAAAUACAGCCGGGAGUCCGAAAAACAUGGAAAGAAGUCAAUGCUAGCUGGGCUUUGUGCCACGGCUUCAGACUCAUUUCCCCACUGAUGUGCGAUCCUGACUGAUGACUUGUGCGCAUGACCCCUGAGAGUCAACCCCUCACCACAGGUGAAGAUCCAGAAUAAGACGUAAACACUGAGGGCUAGCCUGCCCCACCAGGGGUCUCAUCCAAGCACUGCUUCCAGCCACCCCCGCUCCCGGCAUUGUGGAAUCCCAGUGGUGUCCAAAGGGGUCCUUCCUCCUGCCUUUGUGGGCCUCCAGGAAGUGACCUCAGCCCUGCUCCAGCCCUGGACCAGGCUGGCCUGGCCGCGGCAGCCUUCCUAGGUGGAAUGUUGGGACAAAGGGAAGUUCUACCGGGGCCUCCUGAGAACGUCCCUCCUAGAUGUUCAGAAGGGCUCCUGCAAGGUACUCUCCGCCUCUGCACACUGUCUGCCCUAAAACGGGCCUCAGAACCAUUAAAUCCUAGCUCCCCACCAGCCCAGGGGUAAAAGCAUCAGUGGAAGAGAGGCCAGUGGAGGAAAGGCAGGGCCAGGAGCUGCCUGCUGUUGGAGACACUGAGCAAACUUGAAACCUGCCAAGUGCAGAGGACUAGUUUCCCGCUUAAGCUGGUUUGUUCCAGUUCUCUGUUAUUUGGAGGCUGCAGCGUCUGAACUGCUUUGUAAUUAUCGCUUUUCUACAGAAAGAGAACAUCAGUGAAAUAGGUCUUCAUUUGCAUUUGCCAUAUACCCUCUCCUAUGUUCAAGAAUAUGCAGUAUUUGGAGUUCCUGCUGUGGUUCAGCGGUACAUGCCCGACGAGUAUCCAUGAGGAUGCAGGUUCCAUCUCUGGCCUCACUCAGUGGGUUAAGGAUCCGGCAUUGUGGUGUGCUGUGGAGUAGCUUACAGACGCAGCUUGGAUCUGGUGUUGCUGUGGCUGUGGUANAUGCCAGCAGCUACAGCUCCUAUCCUACCCCUCACCUGGGAACUUCCAUAUGCCAUGGGUGUGGCCAAAAAAAAGUAUUCAGUAAUGAAAUUUACUUUUCCAAAAAUUUCACUAUAUUCAUGUUUGAAAACAGAGACUUUAGCCUUUUAUUGUACGUCUGCACAUAAUGACCAUCAAGACGGAUCUUACAUCAGAGGGUCUCUGUCAAGAAGCCAGGACUGACUGGUUGUGCUUAGACAAUGAACUCUUGUGUCUGGGAUCAAAGCCCCAGCCCCACCCCCUCCUCACCUGGGACCAAGUCAAAGGUCAUAAGUUCUCCGAGCCUCCCUGGCUCCUGGGCUAUGAUAGGAACAAUUGCACUAACCCUGACCUUGGAAGCUGAUUAUGAGGAUUCAGUAAACUGGGGCCAUGCCUGGUGUGAGGUUCACUGGUUCAGAGACACUCCUUGUCGCCGAUGCAUCCACCAAGAAAGAAGAAGGUACAUAGUCAGUCUCUACCCACGAGAUCGUAAUCACCUUUGGGAGAUGAUCAUUGUUUGCAGAAAGACUCAAGGCGCAGAUUAGCAUGAACUGCAAGCGCAGUGGAUGUGAGAAGAGGAAGCACCUGCCAGGGCAGAGGCAGAAAGAGCUUCUGGUGGAGAUGGGCAGAGGUGGGCGGGGAGAGGACGACCUGGACCUGCGAGGGGACCCUGAUGCCGCCCACGGAAGCCAAACAGGAGGCACAGAGGGGGGAAAACUCAGGGCCUCCAUGGUCGUUGGCGGGAGUGGUGUGGAGGGCCUUACACCAAAGGGUUUAGCAAAGCGGAGUAAGAAGGCACCUAAGAGAGGCAGGAAUGGGAACUUCACAAAAGAGUCAGCCUUGGAACGGUCUCCAGAAGGCAACAAGGAAACAAAGCAAAAAGCUUCAAAGAACAUUUCGUUUAAUUUUGAGACAGAUAAAAAGAAAAAAAUAAUAAGGAUGAGAGGAUAGAAUCCCAAAGGCAAAAAGACCAUUAAAGAGAUAUUUCAAUGUCCUGGUUUGAGAGAGUGAACGUGGACUGAUAGGGAGUUCGGUACAAGGAUGAUAAAGACGGUGAUAAAACAUUUCCACCUUCUCUCCCUCUCCCAUGCUCAUCUUCAAACUAACGGCUAAUACUUUUCACUCUAGGGGUUAGACGAAAACACAAAAUUUGAGAAAACGUCAAUGUUAGAAAAAAAAUAGGAAAAGAAAAAAAGUCGGCUUAGAGCUCUUCCAACCACAAGAGGGCGCUCCCGGACCCAGGAGCAGAGCUGGGGGGGACUGAGCCCGGAUCAUUAACGGAACUAGCGGGAGGGCUGCCCAGAAGUCCGGUCUGAAAGGGGUUACCUGGGCAGUUACAACGUGGAGACAGCCUCUGGCCUUUACCUGUGCCCUGUGACAUCCACAUGAUCAAUCCUAAGACCCGGAAAGGCACUGAAGGCUUACAAACUUAAGUACUCCCACUCUCGGUAGCAAGUCAGUAUUCAGCCUCUCCAGUAAGUGGCGGAUGCCCCGCAGGCAAAGCAGGAAUGUCCUGAUGGAUCCCCAAGAUUGCAGCAUAGGAUGCUUUCCUCCUGGGAGCUCCACUCAGCAAGGGGAUUCCUCCCUACGGCAGCUGGUGACACAGGUCCGGCCCGACCUCCAUUGCCCGACGUGCCCAACCAACUG